rnacentral:rRNA from 1 species
GACGAACGCUGGCGGCGUGCCUAAUACAUGCAAGUAGAACGCUGAAGGAGGAGCUUGCUUCUCUGGAUGAGUUGCGAACGGGUGAGUAACGCGUAGGUAACCUGCCUGGUAGCGGGGGAUAACUAUUGGAAACGAUAGCUAAUACCGCAUAAGAGUAGAUGUCGCAUGACAUUUGCUUAAAAGGUGCAAUUGCAUCACUACCAGAUGGACCUGCGUUGUAUUAGCUAGUUGGUGAGGUAACGGCUCACCAAGGCAACGAUACAUAGCCGACCUGGGAGGGUGAUCGGCCACACUGGGACUGAGACACGGCCCAGACUCCUACGGGAGGCAGCAGUAGGGAAUCUUCGGCAAUGGACGGAAGUCUGACCGAGCAACGCCGCGUGAGUGAAGAAGGUUUUCGGAUCGUAAAGCUCUGUUGUAAGAGAAGAACGAGUGUGAGAGUGGAAAGUUCACACUGUGACGGUAUCUUACCAGAAAGGGACGGCUAACUACGUG